rnacentral:lncRNA from 10 species
GUCGGUCUCCUGACCUCGUGAUCUGCCCGCCUCGGCCUCCCAAAGUGCUGGGAUUACAAGCGUGAGCCACAUCACUCGGCCUAUACCAGCAUUAACACAAUGUUGUGCUACCAUGUUGCGAGCCAUGGGAAGGAGAGAAGAGAAGGAGAGAAGAGCUGCGGCCCCUCAGGGAUCCCAGACCUAGAAGCUCUCUUACCCAGGGCUGUGACACCCUCUUUGGGGCUCUGUAGCUCCUGGCUUCUCCAGGCUUCCAGGCGCCACUGCGUUUCCCUAUGCCAGCCGUGGAAGCUGCUUGUGGUACGCCUGGUCCAGCCACAGCGUUGCAGAGAGCAGGUGCCCAUACCAGCGCCUGGAGCUGCCUGGCUGUGCUCAGUGGCUGGACCCCAUGCUCACUCACUCACAAGUCCCUCACCACUCCGCACCUGGCUCACCCUUGGCAGGUGUGGUUUCUAGGCCAGUAGUGUGAGCCCAGUUCGGCCUGUCAGGCUGAGUGGAUGAAACGGGCCCAGCGGGCCCUAGCAAAACUCAGGCAAAGGAGCCACUGGCCAAGGAGGUUUCCGGCUGGAAAAGUGACACCUCUAGGAUCCUGUGACAUUAUGGAACUACUACCAUAUAUGGGAUACAUUGUUGACCAAAAUGUUAUGUGACACAUGACUGUAUAUGUUUAAAGAAAAUGAAAACAACCCCAAAUUUUGCCAACUAGG